UUAAUACUCCAAAAAAACUCUCAUUCUUUCUGCGCCGCAUCAAUCAAAACCUACAAUCCCGUUUUGAGUUCAUUCAUUUCAUCAUCACCACUACUUCGCUUCGUUCCAUCAUUGAGGGCUUUCAAUUUUGAUGUUGCUGACUAUCUUCAGGAAUCCCUGAGGGAAGUUGGCGCAAUUUGAAGCUCAAUUUGAAGAAGCGGGAUAUGAGCAAAAGUUUUAAAGAAACUCAGUAAGGACAUGCCAUAAUAUGGCUUCAGUGUUGUGUAGAUUGGGAAUCACUGUUGGUGAUGGAACUAAUCAUGAGGUUUGUUUACACUCAGUCUCUAAUUUUAAACUACUUGAAUCUUUUGAAGGCAAAUAAUUUCAGGGGACAUGCCUUUUUUUUUUUUGAAAUAGAGUUUCAGGGGACAUGCUUUUAAAUUACAGUGGCAUUAUUAUUUUGCCCUGUUCUGAUUUUUGGUUGGUGAACUCUCUUGUUUUUUAGCAAUCAUAUGAUUCUUUUGUAUUGGUCUUAUUUAAGAGAAGUUCAUUUGAAACAUAAAUGGAAGUCCACUACAAAUCUGCUUCUUCUGCUGAUGAGCAACUUAGAUGAUUUGAUUGCAUAUCCAUUAAGAUGUAGUUAUCAACCUAACUUACACUUUGGCUGAUAAUGAGUGCUACAGUUUGUACAUGUAUAUGAUCCUAGUUUGCCAACUAUGGUAUCCCAGAAUGUAGUUUAAUUAAAAUGGUAAUGGUCAUUUUUCUACUCUUGAGACAUUAAAAAAAUAUUAUAUUAGUCAAACUUCUGCUAUACAUAUCAUCUAUUCUAAUUGUUACCUGAAAGGAAUUAGAUGGCUUAAUCUGGAUGAAGGUUAAUGUAUUACAUAUUGCAUUAAUGUGUUGUAUUAAGAUUAAGGCUUAUUUAAGUAGGUUCACAUAUAUUGGUAAAAGUUUGUUUUGGGUAGAUACUGCUAAUGGUCCUUUUGAAAAAGAUGUCUAUGCUUUGAAUUUUGCAAUCUUGAAUUACUUUGUUAUCCUAAAUGUAUGGAACUAUGCAAGGUUAUGCUGCUUGGAGACUUCAAAAAUAUUGUCGAGUACAUGUUGGAUCCUCCAAACCUUGUUGGAAGAUGGAAAAAACUAACUAGUGAGAAAAUCUUUCAAACAUCUUCCCUUGGAUGGUGCGUUGAAUAGGUUUGCAACUUAAGCACAUGAGCACGUUUGGUUUUGAGAGUGACUAUUGUUUUAAUAAUUCUCGCAGGUUGGCGUGAUUGUUUCUAAUGAUGGAAUACUUCUUCAUAACUACAUCCAAGAAUUCUGAAGAACCACUUUAGAAGAAAGCCUUAUUAUGUUGAUCUUCUUGAAUUGUUUAAUGAGGGCCCUCGCUUCUUCAAUUUUCUACAAGUACAAUCCCGUUAAGACAUAUUUCAUGAGCACAAUCAAGAUGAGCCUGAAGCUCAACUCGAUGGCCAAACUGCAACACAGACUCUUAGCUCAGAGAUAUUGCAGGACACAAUGUUAGCGAUAAUGUCAAGCAUCUGACACCUAGCUGUCACAAUCGAGUAAAGCAAGUACACCAUUGACACCCCUGCUCUUCUGCAAGCUGUGAUGGAAAUUGAAGGUCUGAAAGAAUCAAAGAGAAUGUGCGCCUUCGAGUUUUUGAAUGAGGACCCUACAAAAGCAAGAGCCCUCAUGGCAUACAAUAGAAGACUCAGAAGGAUAUAUUUGUUUCGACUGUUUGGUUGGUGGAGAUAAUAUUUUGAUUAUUUGUUCUACUGCUUCUUGGUCCUCUCUUUUUGAUGGAUAAUCAGUACAUCGUAGAGGAUUGUGCAAAAGUACAUCUUUUAAUAUGUUUUCUUAGCAAUUUGUUAGUUAUGUUUUCUUUAAGUUUCUUGUCACAGGCUAGCCAGUAGAGUUAUUACUGGGCUACAAUUUUGUAAUGUUUUCUCUUGGGUGAUUAAUAAAAAAAAUGA